AAAAUGAAGAACAUUUUCGACAUAAAAAAAUUAAGUUUGCUACUUGUACAUGUAUAGAACCUUCCAGACCACGCCUGAGAAGUAACAGAAAUUAUGGCACAGGAUCCUGUAGCCUGCAUCGAACAUCACAGAUAAAUGACGAAUUCAGACGGAUCUCUACAUUCAUUCAUUGCACAACUGGACCAGUUG